AUGACCUCACUUGACAAGGCCUCUAAGCACUUUUCAGAGUAGCUCACAAUAGCGUGGUCAAGUAGCUCACAACUAGCUUUGGUGAGUCAACACCAAGAAGCUGACUAAGCUGCUUGAUCGUGGACCAAACUCAUGCUCAAGGGUUUGGUGUGCUCAACGUGGAUCAAGAAGGGGGUCAGGCGGUCACGGUUGCCUAUAAAUAGAGGCCAUCUCCCACUCUUCAGAGGCGUUCGAUUCACAUUGCAUUCAAAAUUCACUCCAAUACAC
rnacentral:lncRNA from 1 species